rnacentral:rRNA from 1 species
UACGGAGGGUGCGAGCGUUGUCCGGAAUCACUGGGCGUAAAGGGCGCGUAGGUGGCGUCGCAAGUCAACGGUGAAAGCUCGGCGCUCAACGCCGAGUCGGCCGUCGAUACUGCGAAGCUGGAGCACUGUAGAGGCUCAUGGAAUUCCGGGUGUAGCGGUGGAAUGCGUAGAGAUCCGGAAGAACACCGGUGGCGAAGGCGGUGAGCUGGGCAGUAGCUGACACUGAGGCGCGACAGCGUGGGGAGCAAACAGG